ACGAGGAGCUUGCUCCUCUGACGUUAGCGGCGGACGGGUGAGUAACACGUGGAUAACCUACCUAUAAGACUGGGAUAACUUCGGGAAACCGGAGCUAAUACCGGAUAAUAUAUUGAACCGCAUGGUUCAAUAGUGAAAGACGGUUUUGCUGUCACUUAUAGAUGGAUCCGCGCCGCAUUAGCUAGUUGGUAAGGUAACAGCUUACCAAGGCAACGAUGCGUAGCCGACCUGAGAGGGUGAUCGGCCACACUGGAACUGAGACACGGUCCAGACUCCUACGGGAGGCAGCAGUAGGGAAUCUUCCGCAAUGGGCGAAAGCCUGACGGAGCAACGCCGCGUGAGUGAUGAAGGUCUUCGGAUCGUAAAACUCUGUUAUUAGGGAAGAACAAAUGUGUAAGUAACUAUGCACGUCUUGACGGUACCUAAUCAGAAAGCCACGGCUAACUACGUGCCAGCAGCCGCGGUAAUACGUAGGUGGCAAGCGUUAUCCGGAAUUAUUGGGCGUAAAGCGCGCGUAGGCGGUUUUUUAAGUCUGAUGUGAAAGCCCACGGCUCAACCGUGGAGGGUCAUUGGAAACUGGAAAACUUGAGUGCAGAAGAGGAAAGUGGAAUUCCAUGUGUAGCGGUGAAAUGCGCAGAGAUAUGGAGGAACACCAGUGGCGAAG
rnacentral:rRNA from 1 species